rnacentral:rRNA from 1 species
GUUUCCGUAGGUGAACCUGCGGAAGGAUCAUUAUCGAUUUUCUUGAGCAUUCAUUUUGCCCAAAAGAAACAUUCGAUUAUCAAUUCGAACGAAUCGUUGCCCGUUAUCACAAACGGAUCGACUGGCAAUUGUUGACACUGAUGAGGUUAUUGAAAGCUCUGAAAUUGUAUCCUGGUUUUCGUGUUGGGCGACAUGGAUGAAAACAAUGGGAGAAUUUCUUGAUUUAGGGGUUGGACCGAAUCAUGUCAACUUUGUUGGCGAUUCUCCUUGAUGCUUGUUGGUGCCUAGCCUACAGUUCCUGUUUGUCCUCGGGACAAAUGUGGAUGUAGUGUGUCGCUUUGUUGUUUUUGCAACAAGUGCCGCUAGGUUUAAAUACUGGAUUCGUCAUGGAACGAAUGCCGGAGCCACAGGUUCAAGGUAUUUUCUUUUUCAUUUAUGAAAAACAUUAAGCCAGAAACAUUGUUACAAACCAAAUUGUGAUUCUACAAAGAAUUGCAAAAAACAAGAAUAACUACUGCCAGUGGUGGAUCACUCGGCUCGCUGGUCGAGGAAGAACGCAGCUAGCUGCGUUAAUCGGUGUGAAAUGCAGGACACUCCGAUCACUCGACAUUCGAACGCACAUUGCAGCCAUUGGAUAGCCGAUGGCUUCGUUUGUCUGAGCGUCGUUUUCAAAUUAUGACCAAACAAAAUGGGAUAGAUCUGUUUCGUCGUGUAAACGUCGUCGGAUCAUUUCCAAACAUUUGAUAUGCUGACUUUUGUGGUGAAGAAGGCUUUGUAGCACAUUCACUCACAAAAGGUAUUUAGCGUUUCCAGCUUAACACCUUGAAUGUGUGCCUUGUAUAACCAAAGUAUAGUCGCAAAUCAUUGUCCAAUAAAAGUCUAAUUUCGACCUCAGAUCAAGCGAGAAUA